UACGUUUGGGUAGCUAGAAUUGGAUCUCUCUAUUUCUUAAUGCAAUUGACAAUUGUUUUGAUGCCUAAGGCCCAAGGACGUUCCUUGGCAAUUUGUUAAUUAGUAAUUAAUUAGAGGACGUUCCCUAAUUAGUUUAAUCAUAAGGAGAGAUAAUGGUGGUGAGAAGCGUCUUCCAUCCCCAUAACUAAUCUAUUGAAUCAACCCAAAAGAACAAAGUGUCUGUGAUCAAUUCCAAUGACUAAAGUGGAUCCAAUACUUCAACUAGAGCUUUCUUAUUAUUUAUUUCUCUUUUAUUUUAUUAUUCGCUUAUUUUAAUUGCUUUUAGUAGUUUAUUAAUCAAAUCAAUCUCAAACCCCC
rnacentral:lncRNA from 1 species